ensembl:lncRNA
CUUUUCAUUUCUCUCAGAUGUGCAUGGCGUGCACUGCAUAAGAUCUUUGCAGACUGUUGUUACUAAAUAAUUUAGAGCAGGCCCAAGUUCCCUUCAUUUGUACAUAAUUUGUCUUAUUGUGAAACUGAUAAACACUCUGCUCUCCUGACGUGCCUUUGAAGUCUUUUCCAGCUUUGUGCAUAUUUAUGGUGCGGGAAAUAAUUAUUUGAUCCCCUGGUGAAUUUGUAAGUUUGCUCACUUAAAAAGAAAUAAACUAAUACAAAAUUAGAGACUGUUUAAUUUUAAUGGCAAGAAAAAUAAAUAAACCAAAUAAACUAAACCAACUAAAAAUCCAGAAAAAAACAAACAAAAAAACAAUACAUAGAAGUUAUAAGUUGGUCACCAGGUCUGCACACAUCUCAGGAAGGAUUUUGGUCUACUUCUCUUUACAGAAACUUGAAGUCCUUUAGUUUUCUUAGCCAAGCUUCAGCUUCCUCCACAGAUGUUCUAUGGGACUGAGGUCUGCAGACUGGCCUGGCCACUCCAUGAUCUCAUGACCUCUUUGGCCUUACCCAUGAAGAUUGAGUUUGGACUGGAAUAAACUGAUUCUAUAGGAAGCUGUGCUUUAUAAACAUAAGUUAAGUUGAGAUCAGAAGUAUUGUGAUCGAUUGAUUGUAUUCUGUGUGGCAAUGUGGGGGAGCCAUAAUUCUAGCUAAGACUCAGAAUCUUUCAUUCCAUGCACACAAAUCAAGAGUAUCUAAUAAAUACAACAUAAAAAUAUAAAUGCAUGCGUGUUUGAGUAAUUGUUGAUUGAACAGGUUAGUGGAAGGGGGACAAACGGAUGUUCAUUAAUUGUUUACUUACUAUUGUAACAACCCUGGCAAAUGUACUUUUUCCCCCAUUCUGUUUGUUUUAGUUUUUAUUGUAUUGUACUGCCUUCCUGGAAUAGGUGCAUGCUGGGGGAUGUGUCCUUCUGGAAAUCUUUUCAUAACCUUGGAAUUUUGGGGGAGGUAUUUGAUAUUUUCUCUCUCUUCAUUAAAAUAGAAUUACCAUAAAAAAUAUUGACAUAAUUUCUAAGUUCUGAUAAAUGAAUCACUCUUUCCUUCUGGCUUUCCAAGCAGACAGUUUUUUUUUUUUUUUUAUUGCUCCAUUUAGAGUAACUUGUCUAUAACCCAUACCUCCACUCUCACAGCCUUAUUUGACACACUUCCUUUUUGGAAAUAAACAACUCAUUAAUCUGAAGGUUUUAGAAUUUUUCAGCCAGUAAAUGAUAAAAGAGUGUUUUUAGUAAAGAUGAGAAAACUGGUUUUGUAUUAUUAGUUUAGCCAGACUGUAUUUUUUAUAUUAAAACAGAGAAAUACCUUUUCCCCAUAAAUUAAACAAUACAG